CCCUGUGAUUGUGUAACAGUAUAAGCCUUCUGUGAUUAGAGUAGGCUAAUGAGUAAUACAUUGGAUGACGUUAACUUGUGUUGAGUAGCCAGACAGUCGCGUAUUACAAUUUACAGGCGUAAGGGCUGUACAAUUUUGUAUUCCCGGUCAGUCGCCACGCCCGCUGCAUCUACCUGCAGGCUGCUGUCAUCAUCUCAGACAUCUGUGUUCUCUGCCCCCGACAUCCCUACGCCUGUGGGCUACACAGCCUACAGUUAUAAAUGACGUGAGGAAAUUCGUGUGCUGAAGAGCAAGGAAGCUUCAAGUAUUCACAUAAGGUGACAUUACCAUGGAACCAUGAGAGAGACACAAUCAGAAGAAGGUAUUCCAGUACCUGAAAUUACUUGCCUCUAGCUCAUUUCAUCAGUGCAGUGGAGCGGUUCGCCUCUAGUAAAUGUUGAGCAAAAUGUGGCGCCAACGGUUUAACAUCAACGAGCUAAGGAACUGCUCAUCGGACUUUCCUUUUACCCGAGAACUUUUUGAAGAUCUGAGCAAACUUGGCAUAGCUGUGAUAGGUUGUAUGUGUUUUGUCACUCUGGUGAUUUGUUUGAUAUUCCUGGAGGAAUUAUGCUUCCUGAUUCGUCACGACCCAGACUGGAGAAAUGUCAGAAGAAAGCUGUGGCUACUUGGCCUUUACCCGGUGUUUGGGUUCUGCUGUAUAGUGGCCGUCAUCGUUCCCCGGUCCAGUCAACUCAAUGAUUUAAUCAGCGCUGUGUACCUGUCGAUAUGCCUGGUCCAGUUCAUGAGGCUUAUGAUCCUGUAUUUUGGUGGGGAAGUCAAGAUGUUGGUCACACUGAGUAGUGUGGACAUUCCCCUUCAGAGCCCCCCUAUAGCCUGCUGCUUAUGUUGUCUACCCAGGAAGUCCAUGACAAGGUCACGGCUGAACUGGAUAAAAGGCUUGGUGUGGCAGGUGGCCUUACUCCGUCCAGUGUUCACAUUUACAUCAGCAGUGCUCUGGUCUAAUGGACAGUACAAUCCUCACUUGUUGACCAUUGACAGCCCAUAUACCUACAUUGUCUCUAUCAAUGGUAUCUCCACACUACUGGCCAUGUACGGACUGAUCAUGGUAUUCCGCAUGGCCAAGCUGCAUCUGACGCGAGUUAACAUCACCCACAAGUUCGCCUGUCUUCAGUUGAUGCUAGUCUUCAGUAACCUUCAACCUGUCAUCAUCAGUUUUAUCGGCUCUAGUGGGCUCAUCAAGUGCCAAGGCUCAAUAUCCACAGAGGCCAAAACAGAGAUGUUAUCCCACUUGCUGUUGCUUGCUGAAGUGUUCCUGUUGUCUAUCUACGCCCGUUGGCAUUAUCGCAGGAAACACGAGUGGACGGACUCAGACACUGAUGAAAGUUUACGUAAGGGUGUCUAUGAGGAUAUGAAUGGAACUGUAGAGCCUCUGAAAUGCAAUAAUGAAAGUAGCUAUAGCUCCAUUCCCUAACACAGUUUGAAGGUCAAGGGUGUUCUCGGUGUACUAAUGAAGCCUGUAUCAUAUAUUUAGUACACAGGUGUCUUUUUGACUCAGUAAAUAUAUGGGGUCUGUGUAAGGGCCCUUUAGGGCAACACUUUCAUUAACGAAUGAAAAUUCUCGUACGACAUUUUGUGAUAUUGGCCAGAAGUCUCCUGUAAUCUAGGACACGUACUUUGGUGUAAUACUGACAUGUUUUUUUACGAUGCACAAGAUUUUAAUAGUACGCCCUGUAGAUAGCUGCUAGACAGUAUGUCUGACCUGCAGGCGUUUAAGGGUAUGCUCUGCCAGUAUUUGCCAUAAAUGUUUAGAAUUACAUUGUCCACAUGCAGCAGCUUAUUGGCAUGCCCAGCAUAAAGACAUGACAGGGGUUGAAUGACAUGCAGCAGCACCAGGUGUUUAUGUCAUGAUAUGCCCUGCUGACAGGUGUUUAUGUCAUGAUAUGCCCUGCUGACAAGUGUUUAUGUCAUGAUAUGCCCUGCUGACAGGUGUUUAAGGGUUACUUUGUCCAUAGCUGCUUAAUGGCAUGCCCUGACCAUAUGCAUUUAAAGGUAUUCCCUUCUUACAGGUGUUUAUUGGUAUGCCCUGCCUCCAGGUGUUAAAGAUUUCACCAUAGGUGAAAUACAUGUGCAUUGUGUCAGAACAUGACCUAAUUUGGGUUUAUUUGGGUUGUAAUUAUCUAAAGGCCCAUAGUCUAUGCUGUUCAAACAUGAUUAGCUUCAUAAGGUAAAAUAAUUCUGAACAUCACAAGGGUCAAACAUCUUCAUCUCAGAUAUUAAAAACAAUAAUCAGAUUGGACCUUAAACAAGAGUGUAGUAUAUAUGUGUAUUUAACCGUGAGCAGUACCAAAUUAAUGUGAAUUUGUUUGAUAAAUUGAAGGGCUUUGUGUUCCAGGUUAAGCACAGUGGAACACUGUCACACAUGUACAUGUUUGACAACUGGUCCUGGGCGUGUGUCUAGGACCUUGUCCAUGUGUUCACUGGUAGGUAGAAUUUCUCCAUCUGAAGUGUAAGUAAAUGUCUUGCAAAGUACAUAUUUACUUUUGUAUUAACAGGAAAGGUGGCAAUAGAGUAUGCAGGGCCUAGCAAUAUAGAAAAUUGUUUAUUAAUUGUGUGAACAUGAAACUCUGAAAUAUCUUUGCAAUUGCAUAUAUUGUUGUAGAGUGUGCUUAAGCUUUAGAAUAGUAUGGGUUGUUCGUAUUCCACCUACCUCAGCCCAAAGUUACUGCCAUGUAAAGGUAACAGUCAAGUUGGUUAUUUAUUUACCAACAAUUCAGUUAGUUUCUUAUUAAGCAGUGUACAGUGUAUAAUGAAUAUUAAGUAAAGUGUUACUAGUAUUUCAUUGUUGAAUCUGGUUGUAAAAGUCUAUAAGACAAAGAAAAAAAUGAUUGUUUUCUUUUUAUAUAGUUGUAUAUGUAUGUUUUGUUUUGAAAACAGUCGUAGCCAGCAGUUUUUUCUCAAAAGCCAUUAAUCUUGGCCGCAGGGACCAUUGAGCAUGUUAAUAUUACGAUCAGUAUACAGCUUCCCCAUUUUCAUCUCUGAGCUUAAUAUUUAACUGCAGAAUGAAAACACUUGAUAUUUCUGUUCAGUAACUAUAAUCUGUCCUCGUUGUAAGUUAGAACAUAUACAUGCAUAUGCAUGGGGGCAUACAUGCAGCUUUGCUUUCACAUAGAACAUCUUCCUUUAAAGGUGAAUAUGCAUUACUCAUGGCUUAUUAAAAUUAACUCAUAUCUGCAUGUUAAGUAUGGAUUUGACAGCUUGGCUUUGUAAAAACUAAAAAGUUUAUAAAACUACUGUAACACUCAGCAUGUGAAGCAUUGUCACAUUUGUUGCUUUGUCUGCAUGAGGGCUUUUUAUGAAGUUGUGUUCAUAUAUGUUUCGUAUUUGACAUAGACGCCACCUGUAAAAAGUUUUCCAAGUGAAAAGGUGUAUAGCCUGCCUGAAUACAUGCAAAAAAACGUGUGUGCAAAAAUAUGGUUGUGUAUGUAAUAUAUGCACAAUAUUCAGAAUUGUUACAGAUUUUCCACUGAUGAUCUGUGGUUUGUUUAGUAAUACUUUAUCAACCUUAAAGUUUUCUUUUUACUAGAAAUAAUUGAAUGCUGCUGUGAAAGUUGAAUUGAAUGUUCUGACAGCUUAGUAAUCCGCUGCGAAGUAAUGCUGGAUUUUUGAGUGUUAUUGAAAAAUUGUUUUAAAGUGUACAUGCUUCAUCAUUAACAGAAAUAAUAAUAAAUCUCUCUCUCUC